rnacentral:rRNA from 1 species
UACGGAAGGUCCGGGCGUUAUCCGGAUUUAUUGGGUUUAAAGGGAGCGCAGGCGGGAUGUUAAGCGUGACGUGAAAUCCGGGGGCCCAACCUUCGGCGUGCGUCGCGGACUGGCGUCCUUGAGUGCACUGAAAGCGUGCGGAAUUCGUGGUGUAGCGGUGAAAUGCUUAGAUAUCACGAAGAACCCCGAUUGCGAAGGCAGCUCGCUGCGGUGUUACUGACGCUGAGGCUCGAAGGUGCGGGUAUCGAAC